rnacentral:rRNA from 1 species
UACAGAGGUCUCAAGCGUUAAUCGGAAUUACUGGGCGUAAAGCGUGCGCAGGCGGUUGUGCAAGACAGAUGUGAAAUCCCCGGGCUCAACCUGGGAAUUGCAUUUGUGACUGCACGGCUAGAGUGUGUCAGAGGGGGGUAGAAUUCCACGUGUAGCAGUGAAAUGCGUAGAUAUGUGGAGGAAUACCGAUGGCGAAGGCAGCCCCCUGGGAUAACACUGACGCUCAUGCACGAAAGCGUGGGGAGCAAACAGG